rnacentral:rRNA from 1 species
AACAAAAACAUGUCUUUUUGAAUUAAAUUUAAAGUCUAACCUGCCCACUGAAAUUUUUAAAUGGCCGCAGUAUUCUAACUGUGCAAAGGUAGCAUAAUCAUUAGUCUUUUAAUUGAAGGCUGGAAUGAAUGGUUGGACGAAAUAUUAACUGUUUCAUUUGAAUUUUUAUAGAAUUUUAUUUUUUAGUCAAAAAGCUAAAAUUUAUUUAAAAGACGAGAAGACCCUAUAAAUCUUUAUAUUUUGUUUAUUUUAAUUAUAAAGAUUAUUUUUGUUAUAAUAAAUUAAAAUAUUUUAUUGGGGUGAUAUUAAAAUUUAAAAAACUUUUAAUUUUUAAAACCAUUAAUAUAUGAUUAGUUGAUCCAUUUAUAAUGAUUAAAAAUUUAAGUUACUUUAGGGAUAACAGCGUAAUUUUUUUGGAGAGUUCAUAUCGAUAAAAAAGAUUGCGACCUCGAUGUUGGAUUAAGAUAUAAUUUUGGGUGUAGCCGUUCAAAUUUUAAGUCUGUUCGACUUUUAAAUUCUUACGUGAUCUGAGUUCAAACCGG